GUGGGGAAUCUUGCACAAUGGGGGCAACCCUGAUGCAGCGACGCCGCGUGAGCGAUGAAGCCCUUCGGGGUGUAAAGCUCUUUCGGCAGGGAAGAUUAUGACGGUACCUGCAGAAGCAGCUGCGGCUAACUACGUGCCAGCAGCCGCGGUAAUACGUAGGCAGCGAGCGUUGUUCGGAGUUACUGGGCGUAAAGGGUGUGUAGGCGGUUGUUUAAGUUUGAUGUGAAAUCUCCCGGCUUAACCGGGAGGGUGCGUCGAAUACUGAAUGACUAGAGUGCGGGAGAGGAAAGUGGAAUUCCUGGUGUAGCGGUGAAAUGCGUAGAUAUCAGGAGGAACACCGGUGGUGUAGACGGCUUUCUGGACCGUAACUGACGCUGAAACACGAAAGCGUGGGUAGCAAACAGGAUUAGAAACCCCGGUAGUCC
rnacentral:rRNA from 1 species